rnacentral:rRNA from 1 species
CCUACGGAAGGCAGCAGUGAGGAAUAUUGGUCAAUGGACGCAAGUCUGAACCAGCCAUGCCGCGUGCAGGAAGACGGCUCUAUGAGUUUUAAACUGCUUUUUUACGAGGGUAAAUCCCGAUACGUGUAUCGGGUUGAAAGUAUCCUACGAAUAAGGAUCGGCUAACUCCGUGCCAGCAGCCGCGGUAAUACGGAGGAUGCGAGCGUUAUCCGGAUUUAUUGGGGUUAAGGGGUGCGUAGGCGGCCUUUUAAGUCCGCGGUAAAAAUUCGGGGCUCAACCCCGUCCGGCAGUUGAAACUGGGGGCCUUGAGUGGGCGAGAAGAAGGCGGAAUGCGUGGUGUAGCGGUGAAAUGCAUAGAGAUCACGCAGAACCCCGAUUGCGAAGGCAACCUUCCGGCGCCCUACUGACGCUGAGGCACGAAAGUGCGGGGAUCGAACAGGAUUAGAUACCCUUGUAGUC